AACGAACGCUGGCGGCAUGCCUAACACAUGCAAGUCGAACGAGACCUUCGGGUCUAGUGGCGCACGGGUGCGUAACGCGUGGGAACCUGCCCUUAGGUUCGGAAUAACUCCCCGAAAGGGGUGCUAAUACCGGAUAAUGUCUUCGGACCAAAGAUUUAUCGCCUUUGGAUGGGCCCGAGUUGGAUUAGCUAGUUGGUAGGGUAAAAGCCUACCAAGGCGACGAUCCAUAGCUGGUCUGAGAGGAUGAUCAGCCACACUGGGACUGAGACACGGCCCAGACUCCUACGGGAGGCAGCAGUGGGGAAUAUUGGACAAUGGGCGAAAGCCUGAUCCAGCAAUGCCGCGUGAGUGAUGAAGGCCUUAGGGUUGUAAAGCCCUUUUACCCGGGAUGAUAAUGACAGUACCGGGAGAAUAAGCUCCGGCUAACUCCGUG
rnacentral:rRNA from 1 species